CAGGGUCUCAUAGUGGUAAAUCAAGACCCUGUCACCCAGGCCAUUCUUAGUGAAUCUGUCAUGGAACCUCAGGCUCCUAAUGAAGUAGAUGAUGACGAUGAAGAAGGAGAAACUGUCUCUUAUAAACAUCU